rnacentral:rRNA from 1 species
GAUGAACGCUGGCGGUCUGCUUAACACAUGCAAGUCGAACGGGAAUCUUUUGAUUCUAGUGGCGGACGGGUGAGUAACACGUAAGAACCUGCCUCUUGGACGGGGACAACAGUUGGAAACGACUGCUAAACCCGGAUGAGCCGAAAGGUAAAAGAUUUAUCGCCAAGAGAGGGGCUUGCGUCUGAUUAGCUAGUUGGUGUGGUAAGGGCGCACCAAGGCGACGAUCAGUAGCUGGUCUGAGAGGAUGAUCAGCCACACUGGGACUGAGACACGGCCCAGACUCCUACGGGAGGCAGCAGUGGGGAAUUUUCCGCAAUGGGCGAAAGCCUGACGGAGCAAGACCGCGUGGGGGAGGAAGGUUCUUGGAUUGUCAACCCCUUUUCUCAGGGAAGAAGAAAGUGACGGUACCUGAGGAAGAAGCAUCGGCUAACUCCGUGCCAGCAGCCGCCGUAACAC